GCCUUUGUGGUCUUUUCGUGCGUACCCUGACCUCAUACGCGGAUGUUUUAUGCUUGUAUGAGGGAGCAAAACUCACGUAAACAUCCGCGGGCCUUGGUGACCUGUGUUUGUCGUCACCACUUCUUUACCAAAGGGCUGUAGUUCCGCAACAGUUCGAUCUCAAAGUCUGUCGGCGAAAGGCGAGGCGCGCAGGGUUCUUCGUGAUGAGCCGUCGGCAGAAUGGCGGCUCCAAGUCUGCCAACCCAGAGCAGCAGCUGCGUCAGGAGGCGGCCAUCUUUCUAUCCCCUGACGUGGAGCACGAGUUAGCCCAAAUUCUUCAGCGGCGUGAGAGUAUCGAAAGGGCUCUGCAGCGCAUGGACGUGGAGGUGUACGACUUGGAGACCGCAUUCCUGAAGCAUUGCGUGUCGCAUGGCGGCUCACUCUUCGACGGCUUCGGCCUGGAGCGCCGCGAUAAUGCGCACCGAAACCCUGUUGCCGUCCUAACACCAGUGGCGACCUGUGCGUCUUCGAUUGGAGGAGGAGGAAGUGCGAUUGCGCCACUCAGCUUUGAGGCCACUCCGGGCUCGUCACCAAGCUCUCUGCUGCUCCCCACCGUCGCCAACGGCGAGCACGCGCGCACGUAUCGUGUCCUUUCCAGCUUUUUCGGUGCCGGUGGGGCUAGUGGAGGAAGCAACGGCAGCGCAGCCACAGAUCUGGCUGUCGCCUCGCACUCUCCGACGUCACUGAAAGCCGCUGGCAGCGUUGCAUCACCUUCCGCAGCCGCACCCGUCUUUCAGGUCGGCAGCAAAGGGUCGACGGCACCCGCGUUUCACUACCGCAUCCACUUUUUCAGCCCCAGCGAGCGUGUGUUCUCAGCGUGCUCUGUCGGGGCGCUGAGUCGAGUGGAGAUUGCCAAGUCGACCCUUGCCGGAUCGAGGGGUGAGCCGACCUCCUCGACGUGGUCGACAACGGCUGCUGCAGCAGGGCGCGGCAAAGGCUUGGGAAAACGCGGCCGUUUUAGUAGUGGCGGGGACGAGCUCAGAGGCGGCAGGAGUGGUACCGCAUCGCUCUCGAGUGAAUUGGACAGGCGUUUGAAUGCGCCACCGUCGCGGCGACAUCAACGAUACGCGAAGGAAGAAGAUGAUGCCGAUGAUGACGAUGCUUCAGAGAACGGCAGCGGCGAUCGUCGCCGUCGACGUCGCCAGACCGAGUAGCCGACAGGCGGCCGCUAAGACACUCUCUCUAUAUAUCACGAUCUAUGUAGAGGGGCGUGUGUUGUUGUUUUGGUCGAUGCAAGGCGUCUUCACGGCUGUACGAGGUGCUGGCCAGCGACAGGAGAUGCAAGGGCGAUUCUCUACGUCAGCUGCAACGACAGCAGCGAACCAAAGGUGGCUGCGCAUCCAAGUGCUUGUUUCUCUAUCUGUCUCUCUGUGU
rnacentral:misc_RNA from 1 species